AAGAGAAAGCACUGUCAUCACUGGUGGUGACAUUGUCAUGAACCAUCAUUUGCAGGAAACCAGCUUCACAAAAGAAGCCUAGAAGUACAUAAAUGAUUACAUGAAAUCAAUCAAAGGGAAACUUGAAGGACAGAGACCAGAAAGAGAAAAGUCUUUUAUGAAUGGGGGCUACAGAACAAA